UGCCCGUUUGAAGACUCAUAAAUUUGCUUACACGCAUGGAAAGGAUUGGUUUUACUUUUGCGUACAGGCCCAUAAUUUUUUUUAUGCGGUCUACUCCUUUCGAAACAGUCCUAGCCAUGAAUUCCGUUUCCACCCUUCCCUACACCCCUAUUCUGCUUCUUUCCCAACCCCUUCCCUCCUUCCCCUACGCCACCGCUCCCAACAACUUUGCUUUGUCGCCUUUAUGCCGAUCCCGUUCCCCCUCCAUCCUCGCCUCCCACACCCCCCCCCUCCACCAAUCCCUUGCAGGUCUACCAUCUCUUUCACUACUCCUUUUCCCCUAUUUACUCCAAGUUUUCUGCUUCUCACCUGAUCCCAGUCCCCACUCCUCCCAUCUUUUCGUCGGUCAGUUGCCUCUUUCUUGAUCCCCCUUGUCCCCUAUGUUUGUUUCGACCAUCUCCUUCGCUCCUGACCUCUCGGACCAAACUGAUCCGGCACCGCUUGGUGAUCCACUUCACUGUCCGUAUUUUGACUUCCGAGGCUCAAGGGAUUUCAUCGACGGAUGCUUCGAUGACGCAUGAACGAAGAUCGCCAUGUUCCUUUCUCCAGACUCUUCUCUCCCACAAAUCGACCGGUUCUAGAUGAGUUUUCUAGCUUUCGUUUUUCUUCCUUGCCUCAUCUAAUCUUCCGAUCUACUUUCUCUUUUUUUCAUUUUUUUUUUCCAAUUUUUUCGUCAUCUCCUCCACUGCAACCUUCAUCCUAAUCCCAACCCAAUCCCUAAUCCCAAACUUAACCCUAACGCUAACCCCAAUCCCAACCGUAAACCCUAAUCCUAACUAAUAACCCACUAGUAUUAUUCAUCAACCCAUUAACCCAAAUCCCAAUAAUCCAUUGGCCCCCGCGUCGGAGCCCACAAACUCGUCAAUGCGGAUUUGUAACCCAUUAACUCGAAUCUGCUAACUCGCUUAUCUGGAAUCGUUAGCCCACCAAUGCAAAUUCAUCAAUACAAACUGUUAACUCAAUAACCCUAAUCCACCGAUUUUGAUUGCCUAAUUUUUUUUUUUCUUCUCUCCCUCCAUUAGAAUCUUCCUCAUUUCUCUGUCACUAAUUAAGGAUGGUAGUCCGGCGAUGGCCCACCCGCUCCCUUAACCAACAAGGCACACCUGGCUGCAGUCUUUAAAUUGAUUGAUAAAUAUAUACCCUUUAAACUAUUAUAUAUAUACAUAUAUACCAACAUAAAACCCGAGCGAUCCUCUAAGCUUCCCUAUCCGGUCGCCCUAUUCGGCCGCUCCAAGCCUCCCACCCGAUUGAGACUCCUGAGGACGGAAAAUAACAGAGGAAAACCGGGGGAAAACAUAGGAAAAAUCAAGGGAAGACGGAAAAAAUUAAAAGGUAUGGAUUUUUGGAUAAUUUUUGGGACGGGUUUUGGUGGUAAGAUUUUAAACGAGUUGGGAGGGCAAAUUUCAUGGAUACCCUACCCUGUCGCUAUCCCUAUUCCUAAUUCUAAAAUGAAUGGAUGGCUACUGCAGAAGCAGCAGCAGCAGCAAACCUCUCAAACUUCUCUAUUGGACAUUCUCUUUCUAGGAGUGGAAGGCUGCUGCAUACACAGCAGCAACCCCCCUCUCAAAUCGCUCCCUCAGAUGAUGUUUUUUGGACUCACUGAUGAGAAAUAUUUUUUUUUCUCAUAUGAUGGAUGGCCUAAAGGAUUGGAAGGCUGCGGCAUCCUCGACAGCAACCUCCUAACAGACUGAUGAGGGAAUAAAAUUAUCGAGAAAAAAACAUAAUAUAUUCUAAACAUAAGAUAAUCCAGACAGGUGACCCAUUUCCAUUUGGAGAAGGCUUCUCCAAUGCCCAAUUAAGAUUGAACUUCAUUUCAUUAAAACAAAAUCUGAUGAGACUCCGGAGGCAAGGGGCACUUCUGUCCUACCCCUCCACCUUCAUGCCACUGUUUUCCCCUGUUUGCCUCGACAGGUCGGUCGAUGAUAUGGAUGACGGCGCAGACGAUGAUGUGGCAUGUUAGGUGGUAUGGGAUGCGGAUGUGUUGCCCUGGUUUGGAGAAAUUCAUUGUCUGGACCGAUGGAUAAGGCGCAAUUGGGAAUUCAUGAAAUACAAGGGGUUAAUGUGACGUGGGUGGGGUUAAUGUGACGUGGGUGGUCUGGCAAGAAUUUCUCUCUAGUGUGAGAGGUUGACAUGGCGAUGAUGAUUACAUUAUAAUUCCAAUGUGGCAUUCCUGCUGA